rnacentral:rRNA from 1 species
AAUCAACGCUGGCGGCGUGCCUAACACAUGCAAGUUGAGCGCUUGAGGGGGCAACCCCCAAGAGAGCAGCGAACGGGUGAGUAACGCGUGGGUGAUCUUCCUUCGAGUGGGGAACAACAUCGGGAAACUGGUGCUAAUUCCGCAUAAUAUCCUCGGGCCACGAGCCUGGGGAUCAAAGCCGGGGACCGCAAGGCCUGGCGCUUGAAGAUGAGCCCGCGUCCGAUUAGCUAGUUGGCGGGUAAUGGCCCACCAAGGCUCCGAUCGGUAGCCGGCCUGAGAGGGCGGACGGCCACACUGGAACUGAGACACGGUCCAGACUCCUACGGGAGGCAGCAGUGGGGAAUUUUUCGCAAUGGGCGCAAGCCUGACGAAGCAACGCCGCGUGGAGGAUGAAGGUCUUCGGAUUGUAAACUCCUGUCGACCGGGACGAAUGCACUCGACCUAAUACGUCGGAAUGUUGACGGUACCGGUGGAGGAAGCCACGGCUAACUACGUGCCAGCA